rnacentral:misc_RNA from 1 species
UCUUCGUAGGUGAACCUGCGGAGGGAUCAUUACUGAGUGAGGGCUUCGGUCCGACCUCCAACCCUUUGUGACCCGAACUUGUUGCUUCGGGGGCGACCCUGCCGCUUCGGCGGUGCGGCGCCCCCGGAGGCCAUUAAACACUGCAUCAUUGCGUCGGAGUUAAAGUAAAUUAAACAAAACUUUCGACAACGGAUCUCUUGGUUCUGGCAUCGAUGAAGAACGCAGC